AGCUUUAUGCUAACUGUCCUUCUGACUGGUUUGACUGUCCUCUACAGGUCCUUCUGACUGGUUUGACUGUCCUCUACUGGUCCUUCUGACUGGUUUAACUGUCCUCUACUGGUCCUUCUGACUGGUUUGACUGUCCUCUACAGGUCCUUCUGACUGGUUUAACUGUCCUCUACUGGUCCUUCUGACUGGUUUAACUGUCCUCUACUGGUCCUUCUGACUGGUUUAACUGUCCUCUACAGGUCCUUCUGACUGGUUUGACUGUCCUCUACAGGUCCUUCUGACUGGUUUGACUGUCCUCUACUGGUCCUUCUGACUGGUUUAACUGUCCUCUACAGGUCCUUCUGACUGGUUUGACUGUCCUCUACAGGUCCUUCUGACUGGUUUGACUGUCCUCUACUGGUCCUUCUGACUGGUUUGACUGUCCUCUACAGGUCCUUCUGACUGGUUUGACUGUCCUCUACAGGUCCUUCUGACUGGUUUGACUGUCCUCUACUGGUCCUUCUGACUGGUUUGACUGUCCUCUACAGGUCCUUCUGACUGGUUUGACUGUCCUCUACAGGUCCUUCUGACUGGUUUGACUGUCCUCUACUGGUCCUUCUGACUGGUUUAACUGUCCUCUACUGGUCCUUCUGACUGGUUUAACUGUCCUCUACAGGUCCUUCUGACUGGUUUGACUGUCCUCUACUGGUCCUUCUGACUGGUUUGACUGUCCUCUACUGGUCCUUCUGACUGGUUUAACUGUCCUCUACAGAUCCUUCUGACUGGUUUGACUGUCCUCUACAGGUCCUUCUGACUGGUUUAACUGUCCUCUACAGGUCCUUCUGACUGGUUUGACUGUCCUCUACUGGUCCUUCUGACUGGUUUGACUGUCCUCUACAGGUCCUUCUGACUGGUUUGACUGUCCUCUACAGGUCCUUCUGACUGGUUUGACUGUCCUCUACAGGUCCUUCUGACUGGUUUAACUGUCCUCUACAGGUCCUUCUGACUGGUUUGACUGUCCUCUACAGGUCCUUCUGACUGGUUUGACUGUCCUCUACUGGUCCUUCUGACUGGUUUAACUGUCCUCUACUGGUCCUUCUGACUGGUUUGACUGUCCUCUACUGGUUUUAUAUUGUUUAUGUGGUUGUUGUGGCUUUGUCUACCUGACAGAUGCACAUUAGCUGCUAGCUAGCUAAGCAUUUCUUUUGACUGUGUGUUUUCCUCCCAGAAACAAACCAUUAAAACAACUAAACAAACAAACAGGUCAAAAUGGCAAAAACAAGACAGAAAAUGUCAAAAAUAAGGAAGAAAAUUACAAAAAUGAGAAAGUAAACAACGAAAAUGAGACAUAAAAUGACAAAAACAAGACAAAAGCUGACAUAAGCGAGACACAAAAUGACAGAAAUGAGACAAAAUACUAAAAUGAGACAGAAAAUGACAAAAACAAGACACAAAGCAACAAAACAAGAAGCAAAAUGACUGAUUUAGUCAUUGUUCUAUGACGUCUCUAAAUAUCUAGAUAAUAUCUAGGUAGUGUUUAGGUAAUAUCUAGAUAAUAUUUACUCAUUGCUCUGUGAUGUCUCUAAAUAAUAUCUAGACAAUAUUUAGAUAGUAUUUAGAUAAUAUCUAGGUAAUAUCUAGAUAAUAUUUAGGUAGUGUUUCGGUAAUAUCUGGAUAAUGUUUAGAUAAUAUUUAGGUAAUGUUUAGGUAAUGUUUAGAUAAUAUCUAGAUAAUAUUUAGGUAAUGUUUAGAUAAUAUUUAGGUAAUAUUUAGGUAAUGUUUAGGUAAUAUCUAAAUAAUAUUUAGGUAAUGUUUAGGUAAUAUUUAGAUAAUAUUUAGGUAAUGUUUAGAUAACAUUGUGUAACUCUG